GGGUGGUGGUGUUGGCGUUGGAUAGUGAGGCGUGGUGUUCGGUAACGUUAGCGUGCUUAGUUUCUUCUGUGAUCUUCUUUAACUAUUUGUUAAGAUCUGCUAGCUGUAGGUGGUCAUAUCGGUUUCGUUUCAUUCAUUGUUCAGUUGAUUUCUUAUAUGAUUUGGUUCAUAUGUGCAAGACCCGUGUUUGGGAAUCGUUAGAUCGGAGAAGAGCAUAGAAGAGAAUUGUUGGUUUGAUCGGUAUUGCUAGUAUCUGAGAAAUAUUUCUUCUUUUUUAUUGUCUCCUUUUCGUUUCCGAUUUAUUUUCUGAAGAUCUAAUUACCUGGGGCUUAUUUUUAGCUGGUUUCGAUUUCUUAGAUUGUUAAGAUGAGCUGUUUAUGGUUGUUCUGUUGUGUUUGGCUUUGGAUUAAGCAGCAUACACGCUUGAAGGCCGAGGUGUAUCCGUAGUUAUCUUGGUUAUGAGCUUGAUUGAGGGAAGUUGUGUUUUGACGUUCAAUUUAUGUACGACAUGUACUUCACAGGAAGCUUGAUGAUUUUUUCGUUGAUUUCAGCUCUCUUAUGAAGCAGAGUUUGAUUCAUGAUAUAUUUUUUACGGUGUACCAUGGUGGAGGUGGUGGAUUAAUAAUCAAGUUGACCGAGUCUUUUUGGAUUAUUGCAAGUCUUUCCUUUCCCUUCAGUUUUGGUGGCUUCUUAAAUUGCUUCUUUAUGUUUCACUUCCAGAAGCUCUUUUCAGUAACUUGUUAUUUUAUCCGUAUUGACAUGCAAACCAGUGGUGCUUUGAAUAUUGAUUUAGAUCUUUAAUCUCUGUUUAAUUGGUCGUUGUCAUGGUUUUGAUCUUUAGGAAGUUAACUGAAACGGUAGAUUUGGUUGCUCCAUGGUGUUUCUUUCGUCCUCUUAAGGCUUGAACUAUGACUGAGAAAAGGAUUUUUCUUGUAUCAUCUCGUCAAUAAUUUUUUGCUUGAAUUUCCAUACAGCAGCCACCAAUUAUUCUGAAUGUUGUAUUGUUGGUGUGAUUUUCCAGGAUCAUGGAGUGAUCUUGAGGUUGAAACCUACAUAUUGGUGAAACCUGUUGGCAGAGUAGUCAGGAGCCUUUUUAUCCCUCUUUAUUUUGUGUUUGUCUGGAAACUGUUUUUACAUAUCACUAGUUAUUAGGCGCAGAGAACUAGUUUCUGAGUUUGUUCUUUUGCCUUUUUCAGCUUUUUUUAUUUGAGGAAUCCGAUGAAUAGGGAUUUUCAGGGAGUUCUUUUUACCCUUUCUGAUAUUGAUUGCCUCCUCAUUAUAUGAAUAGAAUCCUUGAGUGAUUUUGUUAUCUGAGAAUUUGGUGCUUCUUGUUCCAGGGUGUCUUGAUUCCAUUAUUCUGAGAAAUCAAACAUGGAGGGAUCAGUGUAUGAUAUAUUGAUCGGGAAGUUUCUUUUUCCUAGAUUCCUUCAAUUUUUUAGUGUACCCCUUCCC
rnacentral:misc_RNA from 1 species